GAACGCUGGCGGUAGGCCUUAUACAUGCAAGUCGAGCGAGAAAGUAUCUUCGGAUAUGAGUAGAGCGGCGGACGGGUGAGUAACGCGUAGGAAUCUACCUAGUAGAAGGGGAUAGCCCGGGGAAACUCGGAUUAAUACCGUAUACCUCCUUUGGGAGAAAGAGGGCCUCUCUUUGAUGCUCUCGCUACUAGAUGAGCCUGCGUAAGAUUAGCUAGUUGGUGAGGUAAUGGCUCACCAAGGCGACGAUCUUUAGCUGGUCUGAGAGGACGAUCAGCCACAUUGGGACUGAGACACGGCCCAGACUCCUACGGGAGGCAGCAGUAGGGAAUAUUGGACAAUGAGCGCAAGCUUGAUCCAGCCAUACCGCGUGUGUGAAGAAGGCUUUCGGGUUGUAAAGCACUUUAAGCAGGGAGAAAAAGUUAUAGGUUAAUACCCUAU
rnacentral:rRNA from 1 species